ensembl:lncRNA
AACACGCCAGCCAGACAACCCAGUGUAUGAAUCAAAUGUAUUUGCAUAUGAAUAGAGUGGAAAUUGGCUGACUUUGUGAUCUGUAAGGUAAGUAACAAUGUGGGGGAGGAGGCAUUGAAAUUGUAGUAUAUUUUUUUUUACCCUGAUGCCUGUUUAUUCAUAAAAAGCAAGAAGAUGGUAAAUAACAUUAAUCGCAAUGGUUAGCCUAUGCAAAUGAACUCAAAUGAGCUGCCAACGUAGCUAGCUAAUUUACAUACUGUAUAGAUUGCUAGCUAAGUUAAUUACAUUUGACCAGCUACCUAACUUCAUAUUAGCUAGCUAUCUUGAUAUAUUUAACACUGUAAAAUACAUGUGUAGGUAGCUAGCUAACAGCCAUGGAGGAGGGUGAAAGGAUAGCAGGCACAGCUGUCAAAGUGAGAGAGUAGGCUAUUCUGGCUAGAGCAGGUUCUUUGUGUAGUUCCAGUCCUUAGAAGUGAGAACAGAGAACAUCCUAUUCAGUGCUGUCUAAUUUGAGUAUCAUGAAGUCUGUUUCUUUUGAGGUUUUCUGUCCUCAGAUACAGAGAGCUGUGAAAGCCUGUCUACAGAUGAAGAGGUCCCAAUGAAGAGCAGUGGUUCUCAGUCCUGGUCCUCAAAGGGGUGCACAUUUUUGUAUUUGCCUUAGCACUAAACAUCUGAUUCAAAUGAUCAAGUCAUCAUCAAGCUUUAAGCGGUAUUUAUGUAUUCAUCUGUGACGCUAUCCUUGAUAUGAUCCUCCUGUUGUCACAUGCUACACACGCACAUGUAUCAAUCUAGCCAAUGUUAUCAUGAUUUGUUAUAAGGGAUAUUAUACUUUAGUAAUUCACAAUGAUCUGGUAAUGUAAAAGUCUAAUGAAAUGAUCUUCUAUUGUUUGUCCUCACGUGUUUGUUUUUCAGCAUAAAGUACUCUGUAGCCACUUAGUGUGGACACCAGGUGAGACUACACACACACACAGAUUGCUGUUGAAUACAGUCUCUUUAACUACCUUGUUUUCUCUCCUUCACUUCAUCCCUCUCCCCCUUCUCCCUAUAUCCUCUAGGUUGUAUCAGCUGUGUUGGUAAACCCCUCCCGUAUCUGAACUGGCAGACACAGAGGGCACAGCAUGAUCAUAGGUGAGAGGUCACUUGGUCGGGUCAACAGGAAGUAUUACUAAAGAGAUGCUUUACAUUGAAAUACAGAUAGAGACGAAGUAGUCCCAGAGUUAAGGAUCCAAGGUAUGAUUUGAUGUGAGAGAGGAAGCCAGUCCCCGUCAUCGCCACCGCACCCGCUCUUAAGAUAACCUUUGGGCCAAAUGGGAGCCCAAGUCUGAUUAGGAGACACCGCUAGAGACGCGAUGUAAUUGUGAUGAACUGAGAGAAUAUUAGGGUAGCACUGUAAUUCAUUAAUCAUACGUUGUCUUCUCUGCUCCUCUUACCUCUUUCCCUUUCUGUAUUCUACCCCUCUCUCCCCACCUCGUCUUUCUUCCUUUAAAAAAAUUAAUAAUAAUGCACUCCAUAUGUGCAUUGAAGUACAGAUUGAACUUGUAUUUAUAAUAAAAUAUUACAUGUAUAAUAUUUAUAAUGCAUGUAUUAUGUAUUUAUGACAUCUGGAUAAUGAACUUCUUUCAAUAAAGCGUUUCACAUUCUCCACUGGUUGAAAUGAAGUAUGUCAUUGAAAUACUAUCCUGUGUCCUCAGAUUAAUGCAGAUGAAGGGAGUUAGAUAUGCAUAGGAAGUGUAAUGUACUGUUUUUUUGUCUAUGUAUAUGAAUUACAAAUCAGCCUUUACUUAAAUCAUGUUUCUUGUCUAUUGCAUAGUUACAAUGUGUCAUCAUUGAUGUCCC